rnacentral:snRNA from 1 species
AGCUUUGCGCAGUGGCAGUAUUGCAGCCAAUGAGGUUUAUCCAAGGCACGAUGAUUGCUAAUUGAAAAUUUUUCCCAAUACUCCACCGUGACGACUUGCAAUACAGUCGGCACUGGCAAUUUUUGACAGUCUCUAGGGAGA